rnacentral:lncRNA from 1 species
ACACUCAGGGAGACUGGACUUAAACAGCUACACCACCAGAAGCCGAGAGAGAGGCUGGAACAUAGCCUUCCCUUUGGAGCCCUAGCAGAUGCUAAUCCAGCGUGCAUCCUGACAGAGGUUGAAGGGAGCUCCUCAAGUCCCAGGUCCAGCUUGGUGUGGUUCAGCUACUCGAGAGACAUCUGCUGCUAAUGGAUGAGCAGUCAGCCUGGAUGCAGGAAAUCAUUUUUUAUUUGGAAUAACUGGGAGAUGAAACAGGAAGCUCUAUGACACACUUGAUCGAAUAUGACAGACACCGAAAAUCACGACUCAGCCCCCUCCAGCACCUCUACCUGUUGCCCGCCGAUCACAGCCAGAAUGCAGCUGAAAGAUUCCCUGGGGCCUGGUUCCAACCGCCCGCUGUGGACUCUGAGGCCUCUGCAUUUGCGGGUGGUCUGCCUGUGAUAUUUUGGUCAUGGUCUGGUCAGGUCGGUUUCCCAUUUGUCUGGCCAGUCUCUAUGUGUCUUAAUCCCUUGUCCUUCAUUAAAAGCAAAAC